AACGAACGCUGGCGGCAUGCCUAACACAUGCAAGUCGAACGAGACCUUCGGGUCUAGUGGCGCACGGGUGCGUAACGCGUGGGAACCUGCCCUUAGGUUCGGAAUAACUCCCCGAAAGGGGUGCUAAUACCGGAUAAUGUCUUCGGACCAAAGAUUUAUCGCCUUUGGAUGGGCCCGCGUUGGAUUAGCUAGUUGGUAGGGUAAAAGCUACCAAGGCGACGAUCCAUAGCUGGUCUGAGAGGAUGAUCAGCCACACUGGGACUGAGACACGGCCCAGACUCCUACGGGAGGCAGCAGUGGGGAAUAUUGGACAAUGGGCGAAAGCCUGAUCCAGCAAUGCCGCGUGAGUGAUGAAGGCCUUAGGGUUGUAAAGCUCUUUUACCCGGGAUGAUAAUGACAGUACCGGGAGAAUAAGCUCCGGCUAACUCCGUG
rnacentral:rRNA from 1 species